UAGGGAAUAUUGGUCAAUGGAUGCAAGUCUGAACCAGCCAUGCCGCGUGCAGGAAGAAGGCCUUCUGGGUUGUAAACUGCUUUUGCCAGGGGAUAAAAUGGUCUUGCGAGACUAAUUGAAGGUACCUGGUGAAUAAGCCACGGCUAACUACGUGCCAGCAGCCGCGGUAAUACGUAGGUGGCAAGCGUUGUCCGGAUUUAUUGGGUUUAAAGGGUGCGUAGGCGGCCCUGUAAGUCAGUGGUGAAAUACUCUAGCUUAACUAGAGGGGUGCCAUUGAUACUGCAGGGCUUGAAUGAAGUCGAGGUAGGCGGAAUUGACGGUGUAGCGGUGAAAUGCUUAGAUAUCGUCAAGAACACCGAUAGUGAAGACAGCUUACUAGGCUUAGAUUGACGCUGAGGCACGAAAGUGUGGGGAUCAAACAG
rnacentral:rRNA from 1 species